rnacentral:rRNA from 1 species
GAUGAACGCUGGCGGCGUGCCUAAUACAUGCAAGUCGAGCGAACAGACGAGGAGCUUGCUCCUCUGACGUUAGCGGCGGACGGGUGAGUAACACGUGGAUAACCUACCUAUAAGACUGGGAUAACUUCGGGAAACCGGAGCUAAUACCGGAUAAUAUAUUGAACCGCAUGGUUCAAUAGUGAAAGACGGUUUUGCUGUCACUUAUAGAUGGAUCCGCGCCGCAUUAGCUAGUUGGUAAGGUAACGGCUUACCAAGGCAACGAUGCGUAGCCGACCUGAGAGGGUGAUCGGCCACACUGGAACUGAGACACGGUCCAGACUCCUACGGGAGGCAGCAGCAGGGAAUCUUCCGCAAUGGGCGAAAGCCUGACGGAGCAACGCCGCGUGAGUGAUGAAGGUCUUCGGAUCGUAAAACUCUGUUAUUAGGGAAGGACAAAUGUGUAAGUAACUAUGCACGUCUUGACGGUACCUAAUCAGAAAGCCACGGCUAACUACGUG